GUACGUCUAAUCUGUGUUGGUGACCAGCGGAGGGAUCAUUACCGAGUUUACAACUCCCAAACCCCUGUGAACAUACCAAUUGUUGCCUCGGCGGAUCAGCCCGCUCCCGGUAAAACGGGACGGCCCGCCAGAGGACCCCUAAACUCUGUUUCUAUAUGUAACUUCUGAGUAAAACCAUAAAUAAAUCAAAACUUUCAACAACGGAUCUCUUGGUUCUGGCAUCGAUGAAGAACGCAGCAAAAUGCGAUAAGUAAUGUGAAUUGCAGAAUUCAGUGAAUCAUCGAAUCUUUGAACGCACAUUGCGCCCGCCAGUAUUCUGGCGGGCAUGCCUGUUCGAGCGUCAUUUCAACCCUCAAGCCCCCGGGUUUGGUGUUGGGGAUCGGCGAGCCCUUGCGGCAAGCCGGCCCCGAAAUCUAGUGGCGGUCUCGCUGCAGCUUCCAUUGCGUAGUAGUAAAACCCUCGCAACUGGUACGCGGCGCGGCCAAGCCGUUAAACCCCCAACUUCUGAAUGUUGACCUCGGAUCAGGUAGGAAUACCCGCUGAACUUAAGCAUAUCAAAAGGCCGGAGGAA
rnacentral:rRNA from 1 species